GGAGGAGGGAAAUCCCUUUAGUUUUGUGAUGAGGUUUUUGGUCUUUAAAGGGGGCUUUAAAACAAAGUCAUGAUUACUCUUUUGUAUGAUAAGCCCAAAUGUUAUGUAGAUUUUGUUUGCACGUUUAUUUUGAGCCAAUCACUGGGUCUUGUGUGUACAAUGUACUUAUGUAUGUAUGUAUGUUGCUGGACCUUGCUCUAUAUCUGUGUUGUAUUUGGGGAAUGUAUGCUUAGGUAUUAACUCGGUAAUGCCUUCUAAUUGUAGUGCUAAUUACAGUAGGGUUGUUUGGCAAAUUAAGUGAGAUAGUGCACCCUCCUUGAGCACCCAAUGAACUUUUACACACACACACACACACACGUUAAUGUUAGUAUGUUUCUCUCGCCCAAUCACUUCACUUUGCUGGAACUAAAACAUGCCUUACCUCAGAGCAGUCAAUUACCAAAGCUACCCAAGAUCAUCAAUCAUGGGGGAUGCUUGAAGUUUAGGGGAGGAGCGAUGGUCAAACUAUCGAUUGCUGCACUUUUGUCCUCUCCCACCCCCCACCCUUUUUUCUCGUUCACGGUCCCCUGCACAUAAAAUCUAAAACAGACUAUCCCGUUAAUAGUGGGAUUUAUCAAUGAUUAUGUAUGUACCCAGUUGUGAAUGUGGCCUCAUACAUAGAUGGCUUUUAAACAUACACCGCAAAAAAUGUAUUUGAGUCAGUUAGGGAUUGUUUAUUAUUGUUAUUUUAAGAUUUUUGGAAACUAACUAACUAACUAACUAACUAACUGAAUAAAUAAAAAACCCAAAGGGUAAUUAUAGAAAUUUGGCUAGAUUUUAAUGGGCAUAGAGAAUGAGCUCCAGAGGUCAAUAAACCCCUCGAAAAUGAUGAAUGAUUGAGUACCUGUGAUGAUGAUAGUGAUUACCGGAGCAAUUAAACAGUUUGAUUAAAUGAGCCAUCAUAACAAUGAUGUCUGCGGGAAAUCAGCCCUCACAUAUAAAGAAAGAUAGUGUGGAGGGCUGACAAACGCCAGUGGGCAUUCCUACGAGUUCUGAUAGUGGUGAGCCCUGCAGAGCAGACUGUAUUUACAAAUAUGAGAGCAAUAUGGAGAAAAGUCACUCAGAUACUUUUAGCCAGACUUGCACCCUGCUUAAAAAGCGUCAGAAGCCGAAGAGCAGACCGGUUAUUUCCCCCCUAGAGGAUCUCCUCCAAGAUUAAAGCUAGCUCUAAGAGCAACCGAUAUUCUGUGACUGACUUUCACGGGACUAUAAAGAAAGGGCAGAAGAAAGAUGGAACCUUUUCCCACUAUCCCAGUGGAUUAAAGCAUACAAUAUAUGGGAACAUAGUUUAAAGCGCUACAGUUUAGCCAUUAGAGGAUCUAAAUUUAGUGUCCCAAAAUGAAGCUUUGGACAUAUUCAAGAUUAGGUAGGAAUAUAAGAAACAGCAGCACCAGAACGCUUAGCUCUUGUUAGUAGUGUGUGUGUGUGUGUGUGUGUGUGUGUUUUCCUUCCUUUUCCCCCCUAGCAUGGUGGGAUACUCUUUUUAAAAAAAAAAAUAAACAGUAAUUCAGGGAGAUUAAAUUGGCUGAUUUCCAGUUUCGCGUGCACACACUUACAACAAAGGCCGAUCCCAGUGAAAAGUGUGAGAGAGGCGCAUCAUUUUUUUUUCUUCAGAUUAGACCAAAAUCCAAAGAGAAAUUAGGUGUCCGGUAUGGAAGUGCAUCUCCGUCAACAGCUAGCUCCUUUUGCCGAGGCUGGAAAUGGUUUUAACAGGCGGUAAAAUUUCAUCUUGUGGUGUCAAAUUGGGGUCAGUUUGGGGUUAGAGCUCUCAGUGUCCGAGAAGGAGCUGUCCAGCUGCGUGGGGACUCAUUAAGGGCAAAAGAUCCGUUUCAAGAAAAACAAAACAAAGACAAUCAGAGGGCUAAAGAUCCUCUUCAAAUCGCAUUUUACAAGUGCACCAGAACAAAUAUGGACGCUGAAACCCAUUCCUUUCAAACUCCCAAAUCGGCUUCUUAGCUCUUGGAGGGAGUGAGAGAGAAAAUCCGCUAAAACUUAAAGAGUCUGUUUUCAAUCAGCCUUUCCGAAGUGUGGCAUCUUAGCCUUUUGCUGGCUUUGAGAUCUGCCUCUAUUUCUGAGAACCCUUGCAAAAACCGGAGUUGCACAACAGGUUACCGGGAAGGUUCAAAAUAACACUGCCAUGGAAGGGCUAAUGCAGCUAUCAAAUGCCCCUCACAAGGUGGAUGAAGAGGAACUAGAAGAGACAACAAAUAGGCUCAUCAAAUCUCAGGCUAUCACUACAUCCAUGACCAAUUUCAGGAUACCUAAGAAAGCCUAGAGAGCUGUAUUGAUUAUGAAUUAUGCUGGCAAUUGUAUGUUUUUAAAUAAAAUGAUGGUGUCAAAGGACAUGGAUAUAGAAUGAAGUGACUUUACUCUUCAAAGCAAACAAUGAAGUUUCAUGUCUAGGCAGCUCAUUGUAUUCAGAGACUUUAAUUACUCAGAGCUUCUUCCCUCACAGAUAGCUGAUAAGACUCAAAGGGCAAAAACCCAUCUCUGGUGUACUCCACUGACUUCAAUAGUGUUCCACCAGGGAUGGAUUGGCCUAAGUGUUUCUGGCAGGAUUAUGCUAAUAUAAUAAUAUUUAUAAUAAACUGCAUGCAGAAAGCCAGGGAACCAGAGAUUUGACCUCUGCUAAUCAAGUAGAUCUUCACACUCCAAAAGAUCUGAAAAUCAUCUUGUAGGUCUCAUCUGCUAGAGCAGAAGAUGCCUUUGAAGGGAAUCGGCCUUCCAGCUGUGCUUCCCUUCAGGCAAUCCCCUCCAUAUGAUAGCCUUCAAUAUUUUGGGGUCCAAACCUAUAGACAAAACUCCCAUUGAUUUAAAUGAGAUUUUUGCCUGACUGAGGAAUACAGGACAGGGCUGUCUACCUGGUCCUGCAAGAGCAGAGCACCCCAUGAAAAGUGCUGAGUAUGCCUAAUUCCCACUGACUUUAAUAGGAAUUCUGGACCUUCAGCACACAGUAAUAAGCUCUGGCACCUCACAGGAUCAGGUCCUUAAUUAGUAUUUUAGCUAUUGUCAGUCAUCGUUUUUGUAUGACAUGUUUUCAACACCAUCUCUGGUAUUAUGAAGUGCAUGAUACAUGCUGCAGUUUAAAAUGUUUUCCACAUCUGCAGAAAUAAACAGGCUUCUUAAGUGAUGAAACAAGAUUAAACAACAAUAUACUAAUAAAUUUCUUAUAAAGCAAGUAUACACAAAUUUAUAAACCUCCUAGUAUUACAUCAUUUGCAAUUAUAACUCAUCGCUAAUAGUUCUAUUGAUUAGUGGCAUAAAAAGCUCUAGUAGAAGCAGUUCUUUGGAGUAGAGAAAUAUAACAAUAAAAAAACCCCAUAAGAAGUGUUUGUCCCAUACUCUUACCUUGAGGCCAUAUUACAAUCACAGUAAGACAUAUCCAGGCAUGUGUCACACUGGAUAAUACUAUUUCUUGGGUGUUUGAGGGCACUUGGCUUUACCUUGUACUUCACAACAGCUGAGCCAUGUCACUUAGCCGCAUGAUCCUGGCUCUAGUGGAAAAAAUUACUAAGCUAUAUAAAUUUAUAAUUAUUUUACAUUAAAUACUCAAAAUAUUGCAUUUACCCAGCAUUCACACACAAUGUUUAAAUAAACAUUUUUUCCAAAGUUUUUCUCUUGGUGGAAGAGCUGAUCAAAUUAUUCAUUUUGAAUACACACUAGCUGGUCAAUAUAGUGCUAUUUUCUGUUCUCAAAUGCAUUAUUAUUGAUAUGUGUUAUGAUAGCACCUAGAAACCUCAAACAAGGAUUAGGGCCCCAUAAUCAAUCCUUAUUUUUGUGAAAGUAUUCAUUACUUGCAAGUAUUUAGCAAGAAUAGUUUAGGCAAACAAAUUUCAGUCUAUGGGCCCUUUGCAAAAUGUUCAUUUAGACUUUUUGCAAUUCAUUAUUCUCGAUGUAUGACUGGUUACCUUAGUCACAUGGUAUUAGUUCUGCUCUCCAACUGGUUGGCUGAAGUUUUUUAAACAGGAGGUUAACAGCAAAAAGCAAUAACAAAUAUUCACACCUGAUUCUGCUUUCAUUUAAGUCAAUAAAAGCACAAAGGACACCCAUCGAACCCAUUUGUGAGAUGAACAUCUGUUUGUAUGAAUGUUCACAUAUAGUGAGUAAAAAGGGAUACAAACAUGACAAACUAAACUGCCAGUUGGAAUCUGAACACCUGUUUCCAAAUAUAGUUUUGCAGUAUGAAAUCAGUUCUAUUUUUUGUGAAGACAGUAUAAUUACAAUUCUACAACAUUAUUAUAAAGAACCAAAAGUCAUGAGAAUUGUCCUAAUUUUCUUCCCCUACCUAGGUUUAACUCCAAAUUAUUCUGUGUUACAAAUGGGUCUUGUUUUUGGAGCAAGAAGAAUAUUGUUUGUACCAGAGGCAGAUGCUCCUUGAUCUGUUGUUUUCAGAUUUCAGCCAUUGAUAAGGUGUUGGCUGCAGCCUAUAUGUUCAGGAUAACAUUUUGAUCUGAGAAUAAAUAUCUAAAGGAGUUUUUAGUGUUUGAGGGUGCCAUUCAAUUUCUUACCUCCCCCAACAUAAAUGGAAAAAUAUAUAUAAAGGGCUUGGUCUUGCAUUUCUUGUGCAUUGAAAAUUCCUAUUGACUUUACUGGGAGUUAUGAAUGUGCAAAUGUUGGGUCCUUAUUUUCAUGGAAACUACUAUAUUUCUAUAUUGUUAUUUUUACAGUUGUAAAACUCUGUUUUGUGUCUACUGCCACUGUACAAAAAGAAGAAGAAAUGAAGUAUUUAUUGUACCCAAGAGCAAAAUAUUGUAUUAUCAAUAAGUACAAAUGGUUCCAAAUCAUGGAUUUCCAAUUCAAAUGCAGAUCUGAACUGCUGUAAAGUUUGAAGGUGUUAGGAUAAAGGGUUUUAAUUCAGGCCUUUCUCCCUUACUAAAGUAAUAAAUAGAAAUUGCUGUUGUUACAAAGAAACUCAUUUGCAAAAAAUACUGAUGAGUUUGAAUGUGAAGUCAGCAGGGGGGAAAGACAGGAAAAAUAAUUGGGUCUGAGUGUCUUCUCUGGUGUAAGCUAGGAGUAACUCUACUGAAGUUACUGGACUUUCACUGGUGUAAAGCUGGUGUGAGGGGAGAAUCAGGGCACUUGUGUUUAAAUAGAUGGAAUUACUUUAAGAGGACUUCUAAGAAAACAAUGUGCAAAUAAAUACAAAACAAAAGGGAAAAUAUAGAGACAUAUUACCUUUUUUGCAUGCAUGCUUAUUUGUAAGUGCAAAUUAGAUUUGAAUAUUCAUGAUUCACAAAUCAUUGACAGUUUGAAAUAAUGCAAAAUGAGGUUAAGGCAAGGGACAUCAAAUAAAUGCAUCACUAAAUCAAUAACAAUUUGAUUGCGCAUAUACUUGUAAAUUGCCAUUACAGUUUUUGACAUAGGAGAAAAAAAUGCUGUGCAUGUGGUGAAGGAGGACACAUAAAUACUCUUUUUGUAUGUGUUUAUAUUUUUGCAGUUCAGCAUGUACUUGGAUAACUGCUGUGUAUAAAGUGACCAGACAUAACUUUAUUUUUUUCAAGACAGUUACAGUUUCUUUUGCUUAUCCCAUCUCUUGUAUUGUUUUGCUUAGUAUGUUAAAAAUUCAAUUUUCAAUAUACCCGAACAACAAUGUUGUAAAAUAAAGCGAUUGCUUACUGCAGAUGGUUUCAGAAGAAGGCUCACCUGCUAAUCAAAGUACUAUCAUAAAAUCAUGUUCAGUGGAGAUUAUCCAUUUGUUUCAGGGAAUUUUGUUCUAUGAAGUGGGAGUGAGUUGCAAGUCUCAGGGCAAAUUGCUGGAGUACCAGGCUUUAAAAUAAUGACAGAUUGAAAGAUGGCCAACCUAACCAUUUAAAUCAGAGCUUUUUCAUUUUGCCCUUCUGUAAGCAUCAAUAAAGUAUUGGAUCUCUGUCUCACUUGUGAGCUUUGUGGCUCUUUAAAAUGGAAUAGUUUAAAAUGUUGAUGAGUAUAUAGAGCCAAAAGGUAAAACUGCUGAAUAUAAGCACUCAUUUAAAAAUUACUCCAAUGUAUUUGUUUCUCCUAAAUGUUCCUACUUUGAUUACUAAACACAAACUGUAAGAUAUUAGCCAGCACUCUUUCUUCAGUGUCCUCCGUGGUUUCCCUGUUCUCCAAGAUAACUGAUGAAGGAUAUGUAAUGGGUCAAGUGAAGUUAUACAUACAUAGUAGCACUGAUGUCAAAACCAAGCAAUAACAUCAAUUUGGAAGUGGUACAGGGGACUUUGGUCCUUUAAGAAAGAGAAGAACAUGACUUCUUGCAGUGCUGUGUUUAAAAGCCUCCACUCACAGGAAUGAAGCUUGCAAUUAACUCAUGUCAAAACACCGCAGAAGGGGAAACCCAGAUGUUGAAUAACUUUGGAAAAGGAUAACCUCACGUCCUCCCCAAUCCCCAAGAUGAGCUUGUCAGAAAAUAUGUCUCUCAUGCUAUCACGAUACCACAAAAUACCUGUAUAUUCUAUGUUUAAAUUCAAAAUCAAUUGUGCAAGAAACUCCCUUUAUUUGUGAAUUCUGCAUUGUGAAUAAACAAUCGAUUAAAAAAGAUCCUCUUAAAAAAA